UAGAGUUUGAUCCUGGCUCAGAUUGAACGCUGGCGGCAGGCCUAACACAUGCAAGUCGAACGGUAACAGGAAUCAGCUUGCUGAUUCGCUGACGAGUGGCGGACGGGUGAGUAAUGUCUGGGAAACUGCCUGAUGGAGGGGGAUAACUACUGGAAACGGUAGCUAAUACCGCAUAACGUCGCAAGACCAAAGAGGGGGACCUUCGGGCCUCUUGCCAUCGGAUGUGCCCAGAUGGGAUUAGCUAGUAGGUGGGGUAACGGCUCACCUAGGCGACGAUCCCUAGCUGGUCUGAGAGGAUGACCAGCCACACUGGAACUGAGACACGGUCCAGACUCCUACGGGAGGCAGCAGUGGGGAAUAUUGCACAAUGGGCGCAAGCCUGAUGCAGCCAUGCCGCGUGUAUGAAGAAGGCCUUCGGGUUGUAAAGUACUUUCAGCGGGGAGGAAGGGAGUAAAGUUAAUACCUUUGCUCAUUGACGUUACCCGCAGAAGA
rnacentral:rRNA from 1 species